UACGUAGGGGGCAAGCGUUGUCCGGAUUUACUGGGCGUAAAGCGCCUGUAGGCGGCCUGUCAAGUCCGGCCUGAAAGCCCCCCGCUCAACGGGGGAGGGUGGCUGGAAACUGGCAGGCUUGAGGGCGAGAGAGGAGGGUGGAAUUCCGGGUGUAGCGGUGAAAUGCGUAGAUAUCCGGAGGAACACCGGUGGCGAAGGCGGCUUCCUGGACCGACACUGACGCUGAGGCGCGAAAGCUAGGGAAGCAAACGGG
rnacentral:rRNA from 1 species